UGAAUUGUGCGCUAAUGAUAAAAAUAUACAAAUUUUCCCUCCAAAACAAUUGCCAUAAAAAAGCUUUCAUUGCUUUCUCAAUAAACGUUAGUUAUGCAAGCUUGGAUAUCUCAUCUUCUUAGUGAAAUAAGGCAAACUUUACUAAUCAGUGUGAAGAAACUAAUCAACAUACGAACCUGAUUCGACUAUCAAAUGACUCUUUGAUUACUAUAAAUCAAGGGUUUAACAGAGACCAACAACUUGGAUGACCAGUGGUGACUGCAAGGGCUAUUAUGAUGGGAGCAAUUUCUGGAUUUGAUUGGCAAACGUUGCAAACAGUUAAGACCAAGAGGAAGCAUAUAAGGCACUCAACGAUGAUUCCUUGGAUAGGGUCAACUUUCAAUGCAGUGGCACAAAGGUUACUUUUAGAAUCUUUUAGGAUGACAUGAAGCAAACCAGCACCAGCGAUACCACCAGUUAAUUGAGCAAUCAUGUAAACAAUUGAUCGGAUAAGAUUUAUUUGACCAUUAACUAGAAGACCAAUGGUAACUGCUGGAUUAAUGUGGCAACCAGAGACAUGACCAAGGGUAAAGACAAGGCAAGCAACAGUCAACCCAAAAGAUAAAGCAGUAGAUACUAAAGUAUCGGGAUUUUGUGAUGUUGCUGUACAGGUACCACAAGUGAAUAUAACCAGAAUCGCUGUUCCAAUGAACUCGGCCAGAAAAGAGCGAACCAAGUCACCAUUAGAUGAUACCAGCCAAGUUAAAGGAUUGGUUACCCCUGAAUCGUCCUUAGACAUUUGUAACGACUUGUGGAAAGGCAUUCAAGGAGAGUUAUAUGAUCAAGAUGUAUUUCUGGAGAGCCAAAAAACAAAACAAGCUAAAGAAGUCAGUUUACUUGUUUAAAAUAGAAAAUGUCGCUCGAAGAAGACAAAAUUAUGAAAUGACAAGCCCUAGGCCAGUUCCUGUCUUUUCAUUUAAUGUUUUCAAUUUUGUUCUUUCUCUCUCUUUUUCUCUUCCUUUCACACACAUUUCCUCUCACUUCGAAAAUUGGAAGGCUGGGCUUUAAACCUUAUAAUGUUAGCUUGUAAGGAAAGAUUGACUACAAAGAGGGAUCAUCAUUAUCAUCAGCAUUUCGACUCCCGCCCUACCGUCCAAAUAACUCUUAACGCUGGUUGGCUAUGUUUUAAAUCAUCUUUUUUUGAGAAACGAUUCUCAGUCUUACAAAAUGACGUGUUUCAAUGUUUUUAAUGAUAAAAGAGAUACAUUUCACAUGAAAUUAACUUGUGGCAGCAAAUUGACUGGUAAACGUGUAAUCAUCCUUUUCUCAGUCUUUCUAUUAAAGUAGUUUUUAGUACAUUCA